rnacentral:rRNA from 1 species
UCUGGUGACUAUAGCAAGGAGGUCACACCUGUUCCCAUGCCGAACACAGAAGUUAAGCUCCUUAGCGCCGAUGGUAGUCGGACUUACGU